GUGUCAGCAGCCGCGGUAAUACAGAGGUCCCAAGCGUUACUGAGAAUCACUGGGUUUAAAGGGUGCGUAGGUGGUCCGUUAAGUUCGUUGUGAAAUCCCUGGGCUCAACCCAGGAACUGCUUCGAAUACUGGCGGACUUGAGGCCAGUAGGGGUCACUAGAACUGACGGUGGAGCGGUGAAAUGCGUAGAUAUCGUCAGGAAUGCCGGUGGUGAAGACGGGUGACUGGGCUGGUUCUGACACUGAGGCACGAAAGCGUGGGGAGCGAACGGGAUUAGAUACCCGUGUAGUCC
rnacentral:rRNA from 1 species